rnacentral:tRNA from 2 species
GGCAGUGUAGUUUAAUGGUAAAACGUCCGUUUUCCAGACGGAAGACGACCGUUCGAUCCGGUUCGCUGCCA